CUUGAAGGCAGCAGCAGUGAGCCGCUCGUGUGCGUCUCUUUCCUUUCUCCUUCCCGCCAGCAGGGCGCGUGCCUGCGCCUCCCACAGAAGACGUGUGCGUGUGUGGGGGGGCAGAGAGAUAGAGGACUCCUGGCAGAGCACAAAACCCACUCCCCGUGAAGCUGCGAGAAGGAAAAGCUCCGUUGUGUGUGUGUGAGUGAGUGUGUGUGAGUUUUUAAAUGUCAGAAAGCCCACGCACCGCCUCCACUGCUCGCGGGACUCUCCCAGGAUGCUGGACCCUCACGCCGGGCACAGAGUGGCAGGCUGCUUGAUUCUGCUCUCCCUCCUCCACAUCAACUUGUCUGCUGGCAGCUCAGGAAAAGGCUCACAGAGCCACGAUGAUAUGCAUGUCAUCCACAACAAUCAACUGGGUAAGUCUUUUUUCAAAUUUCAGUACUAGAGAAGUAAGAAAGUCAGAAGAAGGAAUUGAUAAAUGGGUAAAGCUUUAGAUUACAGCCCAUUCAGUGUAAAUAUUCUGCGCGUGGAUUGAAAUAGUUACUGAAACCCGAGGAAUAGGGAUUCACAAAUAAUCAUUUAGCAGGAACACUGAAAUUAUAAUUAUUUUGGUACUUUUUUAUCACCCGUUACAUAAUAAUAACCAGGUGCAUAAAGGAAACCAACGGCCCUAACCUUUGUUUUAUGUUAGCAAUAGCUAUAGGAGCCAUGUAUUGAAAAUUGAUAUAAAAUCUGACUAUAAAAUAUCUCCGGUUCUUUCCUGGGCAAAUUUCUUGCCCAUUUCAGCUUGGACCGUCAGAUGUAUUAUAACCCAAAACUACCACUGCGCAUUUCAUUCUAAAUACGGUUUUAUAGCUGCAGCUAUAUACAUCUUUCAAUAAUGUAGCCGACACCAUUUCACGAACAACAUGAAGCUUGAAUGUUAUUCUAAGUAGAGUAAAUUUGCUUAAGUUAUCGCCAUGUUUGAUGCCGAGUAAGUAUGUGACUGGACACUGGUUACAUUGGGAUUUUAUAAGCUGCUGUAUGUAUUCUUGAAUCUAUAUACUUAUUUCCAUAAAUGACUUGGCUGCAGAGUGUUUAAAGCUGCUAUUCGCAGUACGGCUCAUAUUCUGGACUCUGUUUUUGUGUUUGAAUGUUGUAAAGGGUGAACUUUGAAUAGCACACACUAAUUCCUUAAAUUGGUGAAGGGGCUUUUAUGUGAUGCCUGCCUUGAAAAGCGGAAUCUUGCGAGUUGCUCAGAUUUUUCCACCAAAGUGCUCUCAUCUCUUCAUCGAUUUGACAGCAACCAUACAUUUCCUAAGUAGAGCAAAUAAAAAGAUCUCAUCAUGCAUGACUCUCGUGCCACGCCGGGCUCACACGAUCAACCAUCACAGAGGGAUUUCCGCGACCAUGCAAAGGAGUUUGGAGCCAGUUUACUGGACCUCUGCCUGUUGUUCAUUCAACUGGGUCAGAGAAGGCGCGAGAGCUCACAAAAGCAACUUCAUAAUGCUCUCAUUUGGCACCUCUGCACAGAGAGGAAAUGCAAACAGACAGCCAUCUGAAAAACAGAGCUUUGCUAUCUGGCACCGCCGUAGUUAUUCCCUUUGUCGCCCCACAGAAAAACCGCUACACUCGCAUACAGAGAAUAUUGUUUGCUUGAAGGAAUUCAGAUGAUGCAUAAAUGAAAGUCUGGCUCUCUGAUGUUUUAACAAUACUGCAACAGACAUUUUAAAGCAACCGGUGACCUUUUGGAAGGUAUUGGAAGUAAUGAUUAGAACAGUAGUGUGUGAGAGGAAAUGCAAGGGGACAUAUCUCCAUGGACUGUUGUCUCAAUUAUGUCUGAACAAAAGCAGGCAUUAUAUCCAGGUAUCUACUGCAAAUCUACAUGAUCACAUUAAAAGAAGCAGUGGGACUCCUCAACGUCUAUUGUGCCGUUGUGUUUUUAAAAGUGCAACGUCGUACACGUCCGAUACAGAACUACAGAAAAGCUUCAGGGAAAAGAGAGACAAUAUAUAUUUUCAAAUACGGGUAAUGUGAAAAUGUCCUCCAUAAGUGCCUCGGCCCACAAGUCCCCACUGAAUGUAACGUAAUCUCACAAUCAAUUUUCUAGGCAUGGUAUUGUGGGUUCACAGUUUGCAGCGUAAAUGUUAGCUGACAGGAGCAUUUUUAUUCAAUUGGCAAUUAAAAUUAAUUCAUGAAUAUAAAAUAUAUCUCCCUUUUUUUUCUUCUUUUUGUGUUCUUGUCUCAAUCUAUUCAUGUUAAAGUAUGAAAAGAAAUAGUCUGCUCUAUCAAAUAAACAAUAGACAUAAUAACACAAAUCCUACAGGGCCUAUUCAUGUCCAUCCCGAUCAAUUUAGUAAUUUCCCUUGAUUUUUAGACUACGAAGAAGAAGAUAAAAUUACGUCUUGCAUGCGACGGCUCGGUGGAGCGGCGGUCGCAGCAAUGAAAUGCUUGAAAAAAUCAACAUGUUAUGAGUCUGUUUCAGAUCACGCCCUGUGUUCCAACUUACUGCUCCGCCACACAAAAUGAAGAAAUGCAUUUGGAUUGAAGUAGCUGUAAAAAAAGAAAAAAGAAAAAAGGAAAAGGUCUAGUUUCAUCCUGAUUCAGACGCUUUGAUGUAUUGUCUGUCAAGCUCCGCUCUUUCUGUAAGUAGAUGUGAGGCAAUAAUGUGCUCAUCUAGAGGAGGUUGUUUUGACUGAAAUCCAGUUAGCUUUUCACCCGGACCUCAGUAAUGACUUACUUGACUAUUGAUCCGAUGUCCUAUUCUGUACCUAAACUUAGGCAAUCAAUGUAUUUUUUUUCCUUUUAAAUUUGAAUUUAAAAAGUCAAAAAAGCAGACUUGCAAGUUUGGAUCCGAUAUAGUUGCCGUCGUCAUCAAUAUUUCAUAUUGCAGGAAACCUGAAUACAGACACCAUGAAGCUAGAUGUACUUUCUCUACUGUCUCCUAGAAAUAAGACUCACUUCGUUGCCUUUGAAUGAAUAUUCUAGCAACAAUGUUCUUGUGCCUUUACGCCAACGACUGCUCCUCAGAGAACCCGACUGUCAAACUCCUGAAGUUCACAGACGACACAACGUCCAUCGGCCUCAUCAGGGACGGAGAUGAGUAGACGUGCACACCUGAUAUUAACCAGCUGGUCCUCUAGCGUGGUGAAUCUCAGAACUGUGAAGGUUACAGUGGACUUCAGGAGGAGCUCUCCAACACUGCCCCCCUUCACCAUACUCUACACAUUGUGUCUUCUGUGGAGACCUUCAUGUCUCUGGGAUCCCAAAUCUCUCACCUGAAGUGGGCCUCCAACAUUGACCCAUUCAGGAAGAAGGUCCAGGACAGGUUGAACUUCCUGCGCCAGCUCCUGGUCUUCUUGUUCUACUCCGCCAUCAUCCAGUCUGCUCUCUGUUCUUCCAUCACUGUGUGGUUUGGAUCGGCCACGAAACAGGACAGCAACAGACUGCAGUGGCCUAAACCUCCAUCCUGGACUCGUACACCUCCAGUCAAGAAACAGGAAGGAACGAUCACUGCAGACCCUUUACACCCUGGACACAACUUGUAUAUUUACUAGAGUUGUUAAAUGUGUCUAUAUUUGAAUCCAUUGUACUGUUUAUGUUGUCUUCUACUUUUUAAUUUUCUUGUCGAUUUAUAUUUAUGUGCAAACCGCAGUUAAACUCCGGGUAUGUGUAAGCAUACGUGGCCAAAAAGCUAAUUCUCUUUCUCACUUUAACAUGAGACUAACCUUAACAGCUUUUCUUACAUAACUACCACACACUUGCCCUUUUCUCAUCCUUUUUUUUUUUUUUGCAAUCUUGAGCAUGCAACCCGUCUAUUGGGUUGCAUGCUCUUUCCUUUCUGGCUGUCCCCUCUCUCCUAUUUUCUUCUCUCUGUUUACUGAGAGAUAUUUAUGACACUGACUUUUUGGUAGUAAGCUGAAAGUUAAAUACACCAUGUUCGCUAUUGAUCGUGUGCAAGGCAAUUCAACUUCUUCAUUAAUAUGAGAAGAAGGCUUAGAAAACCGUUUCACUUGCACCUGCAAGACACAUCCGCCUCUGUC
ensembl:lncRNA